AAAGAACAAUUACUCAACUAUUGAAGGAAAAAUUAUGGGAGAUCUACAGCUCACAUAUUGCUAACUCAUAUUUAAAUAACAAUCAGCAAGAGCAGAGAGAACCCAAUGAAUGCCCAAGAGAAUCUCUGAGUCUAUACUGACCAAAACUGAAAGUGUUUCAGUAGAGGUAGUGUAUCACUAAGUUGCACUGGCAAGACAAACACUUGUGGUCCACCUGUUCAGCCUCCC
rnacentral:lncRNA from 1 species